AUUGAACGCUGGCGGCAGGCCUAACACAUGCAAGUCGAGCGGAUGAAGGGAGCUUGCUCCUGGAUUCAGCGGCGGACGGGUGAGUAAUGCCUAGGAAUCUGCCUGGUAGUGGGGGAUAACGUCCGGAAACGGGCGCUAAUACCGCAUACGUCCUGAGGGAGAAAGUGGGGGAUCUUCGGACCUCACGCUAUCAGAUGAGCCUAGGUCGGAUUAGCUAGUUGGUGGGGUAAAGGCCUACCAAGGCGACCAUCCGUAACUGGUCUGAGAGGCUGAUCAGUCACACUGGAACUGAGACACGGUCCAGACUCCUACGGGAGGAAGCAGUGGGGAAUAUUGGACAAGGGGCGAAAGCCGGAUACAGCCAUGCCGCGUGUGUGAAGAAGGACUUCGGAUUGUAAAGCACUUUAAGUUGGGAGGAAGGGCAGUAAGUUAAUACGUUGCUGUAUUGACGGUACCAACAGAAUAAGCACCGGCUAACUUCGUG
rnacentral:rRNA from 1 species